rnacentral:rRNA from 1 species
GACGAACGCUGGCGGCGUGCUUAACACAUGCAAGUCGAACGGAAAGGCCCUGCUUUUGUGGGGUGCUCGAGUGGCGAACGGGUGAGUAACACGUGAGUAACCUGCCCUUGACUUUGGGAUAACUUCAGGAAACUGGGGCUAAUACCGGAUAGGAGCUCCUGCUGCAUGGUGGGGGUUGGAAAGUUUCGGCGGUUGGGGAUGGACUCGCGGCUUAUCAGCUUGUUGGUGGGGUAGUGGCUUACCAAGGCUUUGACGGGUAGCCGGCCUGAGAGGGUGACCGGCCACAUUGGGACUGAGAUACGGCCCAGACUCCUACGGGAGGCAGCAGUGGGGAAUAUUGCACAAUGGGCGGAAGACUUAUGCAGCAACGCCGCGUGCGGGAUGACGGCCUUCGGGUUGUAAACCGCUUUCGCCUGUGACGAAGCGUGAGUGACGGUAAUGGGUAAAGAAGCACCGGCUAACUACGUG